UAUGCUACCGGUCCGGUCACCUUUUGGCCGGUUUCUGGAGAGAUAGUUCCGGUUCCUGGAGUCUGGGGCCAAUUUGGGGAUGAUGACCAAGUUCUACUGAGAAGGGCGGUGUGGAAGCUUUUGAACCGGGAAGAGAUAUUUUUCUCUCUUUGGAGGACCGGUUUGGUACUUUUCCGGUCGGUUCUGGUGAUGCCGCCGGCGGUUCUAGGCUCCUGGGAUCUAGAGCUUCAAGGGUUUCAGGGUUAGGGCGUCAUGCUGAUAACGUGUUUUAGGAAAUCAGAAAUUGAGAGAUAAUCGCUGUCUAUUCUCAUUGAUAAUAGGGGCCUCUUUAUAUAGAGGAUUACAAUGCAUAGAAUCUCAAUCAUACAAGGAAAGUAAUUCUACAUUGAUUAGGAUUAUAGAUCCUUCUAAUUAAAUCAUAUUACCACUAGGUCAAGUAACCUAGAGUUUGGGCUAAACACAAAUUAGGUUUUCCUUG
rnacentral:lncRNA from 1 species